rnacentral:lncRNA from 1 species
GGUCCAAGGUCAAGCCUGGAAGUCAGCAAAGCAAGACCAGUUUUGGUAAGAUUGCAGUAUGGGCAUGGUGUACCUACAGCGUAGCUCAGGCAAAGGGAAUGGACCUAAGUUUAAAUACAUCUCUGGACCCAGUAUAAAGAAGGUGCAUGGGUGAAGGUUCCAGCUGAGGCUUCCCACAGAUUUCUGUUCUUGCAGCAGUGUGAUUGCGAGUUAUUCAGCUUCAUCAUAAUGGAGGUUUUAGACUAUCAGAGGCAGAUCUCCAUUUUGGCAACACCUUCAGCAAGUGAGCAAGGUAAACAGAAUGGGCCAGAAUUUCUGGUAGUGUAAACCUGUUUUCAUCACAACCACGCACUUCUCUGCAGGAAACAUACCUUCAUAAUACAUAAAGUUUGUGUAUAAACAGUUGUAACUGAGGCCAAAAUAGGAUAUUGUUUCAUCAUAAAGUCCAACAUUCUCCCUUCACAGUGUUCAGGAAAUGCUGGACUUCUGAAGGACAGAGAAGAGAGCAUCAUGAAGGGAAUGCCCUGUACUUCAUUUACAGAUCAGUUCCAUCCAAGAGGAUAAAAGUUCUAUAGAAAACAUCACUAAGAACUGCUUUGGUUUAACCCAAAAGGUCUUCUAUGUUUUCCUCAAGUAUGGUCCUUACAAAUAUGUUUUAAGUUGUAUUUCUGUAUUAAACUUGUUCAAUGUUGUCAACAAUUGUCAUCUGAGGGUAUUAGGAAAAAUCAUUUUUUGAGGGAAAUUCACUAGCACAAAACAGAAUAUUUGAGCUUCUUUUGUCUGGGGAAAAAAAAGAAAAGUCAGUCUUAGUUUAGAAAACAUUUCACCCUAUUUACUUUUUCAGAAUACUAUAUGUAGAAACCUCAUGAAAAGUGAAGUAACCUUCAAAGUUUUAUUUUGGUGCAAUAUUGAAGAUAAUGUUAAAAAUAAGUUGAUUUAUGUCUAUUAUGCCCAGAUACUUUUUAGCUGAAAAUGAUUUACAGAUGGCACAAAAAUGAAAAAUCUUCUGGUUGACUGGAAUUUGGAACUGUUGGUGUAGUGAGGGAUGACAUGAAUGGAAAAUAACCCCAGAGAUCUUAAUUCUACUGGGCUUUACUGGAGAUGUUAUUAUGACCAUACCAGGGUGAGGUAGUUGCAUUAAUUUCAACCAGUACAUGUAUGACUUCAAGGGUAUGCACCACAGUGCUCUUUAUCUUGUUUGUUAACCAAACCACUUAUUCUGUUCCUGCUUGGAUUUGGGAGUGAACUC